GAUGAACGCUAGCUACAGGCUUAACACAUGCAAGUCGCGGGGCAGCAUGGGGGUUGCUUGCAAUCCCCGAUGGCGACCGGCGCACGGGUGAGUAACGCGUAUCCAACCUGCCCUUCACCACGGGAUAACCCGGCGAAAGUCGGACUAAUACCGUAUGUUGUCCAUUGACGGCAUCCGAUUUGGACGAAAGGGUUGGCGGUGAAGGAUGGGGAUGCGUCCGAUUAGCUGGACGGCGGGGGGACGGCCCACCGUGGCGACGAUCGGUAGGGGUUCUGAGAGGAAGGUCCCCCACACUGGAACUGAGACACGGUCCAGACUCCUACGGGAGGCAGCAGUGAGGAAUAUUGGUCAAUGGGCGUAAGCCUGAACCAGCCAAGUAGCGUGCAGGAUGACGGCCCUAUGGGUUGUAAACUGCUUUUAUGCGGGGAUAAAGUGGCCCACGUGUGGGUUUUUGCAGGUACCGCAUGAAUAAGGACCGGCUAAUUCCGUG
rnacentral:rRNA from 1 species